rnacentral:rRNA from 1 species
UAAUGACAUUGUCUAUUCAUAAGUCUUGACCAAAUUACGUGCCAGCAGUCGCGGUAACACGUAGCAGACAAGUGUUAUUCAUCUUUAAUAGGUUUAUGGGGUACUUAGACGGUAAAUCAAGCCUCAAAAAGGGACUAGUUUGCUAGAGUUUUAUGUGAGGAAGUAUUAAGGUACUGGUGGUGUAGAGAUGAAAUUCGAUGAUACCUUGAAUGGCACAGAUAUAGGCGAAAGCAUCUUCUUAUGUAAUAACUGACGUUAAAAGACGAAGGCUUUGUGUCUCGAACAGGAUUAGAUACCCUAGUAGUCAAAGCAGACAAUGAUGAAUGUCAUAGAUUGGAUUUAAAUUUAUUUAAUCUAUAAAUGAAAGUGUAAGCAUUCCACCUUAAGAGUAAUUUGGCAACAUUGGAACUGAAAUCAUUAGACCGUUUCUGAGACCAGUAGUGAAGUAUGUUGUUUAAUUUGAUGAUCCGCAAAAAACCUUACCACAACUUGAAUAGAUAAUUUUUAUCAUACAAGCGUUGCACGGCUGUCUUUA